UUGAAUCCAAAGGAUGUUGCUGGUGCUUGAAAAAGUACAUGUGCACUCCGACCUUCAUAAUCCACCUGUGCACUCAUUGUAGGCUCUGGAUUGAUUUCCAGAGUCUAUGCUUUUAUACACACUACAAAGUUUAUGGAAUGUCUGGGCUUUCAUUGCCUAAAAAUAAUAAUA
rnacentral:misc_RNA from 1 species